GUUAAAAAGCUCGUAGUUGGAUUUCUGGGAGAGUGGCGAUGUCCGCUUAACGUGUGUGCAGCGACGCUCUUCCAUCCUUCUGUUAGCGUCUCUCGGCAUUCACUUGUCGGUGGCGGGCUCAGAUAUUUUACCUUGAGAAAAUUAGAGUGUUUCAGGCAGGCUGGGCCGGAAUACAUUAGCAUGGAAUAAUGGAAUAGGACUACGGUCUCUUUGUUGGUUUGAGGGACUGCAGUAAUGAUUAAUAGGGAUAGUUGGGGGCAUUAGUAUUUAAUUGUCAGAGGUGGAAUUCUCAGAUUUGUUAAAGACUAACUUAUGCGAAAGCAUUUGCCAAGGAUGUUUUCAUUAAUCAAGAACGAAAGUUAGGGGAUCAAAGACGAUCAGAUACCGUCCUAGUCUUAACCAUAAACUAUGCCGACUCGGGAUUGGGGGCGUGUUCUAUCCGCCUUCAGCACCGUAUGAGAAAUCAAAGUCUUUGGGUUCUGAGGGGAGUAUGGUCGCAAGGCUGAAACUUAAAGGAAUUGACGGAAGGGCACCACCAGGCGUGGAGCU
rnacentral:rRNA from 1 species